rnacentral:rRNA from 1 species
AUGACAGAACACGCGGCUGGAGUAGUAUUAAGCAGCCUAACUUCUCUCCAUCCAGUUCUAGCCAGAGCUGCAGACUCCUCGCCCAUGGCCGACCUCCCCGGAUUCCAAAUCAUUCCUCCUCGUCCAGCCGUGGAGAGACUCGAGUUCAACUUCCCCAACCUGUACCUGCACCGCGGCUUCUCUGGCGAGACUCAGAACCAGCUCGGACUAGGAGAUAAAGAGGAUCAUAUUGUCGGCGCGCUGGCCGUCAACAACUGGCCGGUGUACGACCGACCUGGGCCUGGGGAUGACGCUACCGUUGUUGCCCGUGUGCAAGGCCUGCACGUCAAGUCCGGUGACUGGCACGGUUCGUUCACCAUGGUGUUCCACUCCGGAAGCUUCAAGGGAUCCACGCUUCAGGUCAUGGGAAUACCGGUCGAUAGUGGUAACUGGGCCAUUGUUGGCGGGACCGGAGAUCUUGCGAUGGCAACCGGUGUCAUCACAAAACAAGCUCGUAAGCUAGGGAAAACCAACAGUAUUUUAAAACUUACUAUCCGAGGAUUCUGCCCCAUCCAUUAA